rnacentral:rRNA from 1 species
AGAACGAACGCUGGCGGCAUGCCUAACACAUGCAAGUCGAACGAGACCUUCGGGUCUAGUGGCGCACGGGUGCGUAACGCGUGGGAAUCUGCCCUUGGGUUCGGGAUAACAGUUGGAAACGACUGCUAAUACCGGGUGAUGACUUCGGUCCAAAGAUUUAUCGCCCAGGGAUGAGCCCGCGUAGGAUUAGCUUGUUGGUGAGGUAAGAGCUCACCAAGGCGACGAUCCUUAGCUGGUCUGAGAGGAUGAUCAGCCACACUGGGACUGAGACACGGCCCAGACUCCUACGGGAGGCAGCAGUGGGGAAUAUUGGACAAUGGCGAAAGCCUGAUCCAGCAAUGCCGCGUGAGUGAUGAAGGCCUUAGGUUGUAAAGCUCUUUUACCGGGAUGAUAAUGACAGUACCGGAGAAUAAAGCCCGGCUAACUCCGUGCCAGCAGCCGC